rnacentral:rRNA from 1 species
CAGCCGCCACGGUAAAACAGAGGGUGCAAGCGUUAAUCGGAAUUACUGGGCGUAAAGCGCGCGUAGGUGGUUUGUUAAGUUGGAUGUGAAAGCCCCGGGCUCAACCUGGGAACUGCAUCCAAAACUGGCAAGCUAGAGUACGGUAGAGGGUGGUGGAAUUUCCUGUGUAGCGGUGAAAUGCGUAGAUAUAGGAAGGAACACCAGUGGCGAAGGCGACCACCUGGACUGAUACUGACACUGAGGUGCGAAAGCGUGGGGAGCAAAUGGGAUUAGAUACCCCAGUAGUCCCUGUCUCUUAUAC